rnacentral:tRNA from 1 species
GGUGGCUCAGUGGUAGAGCGCUUGCCUUGCAUGCCUUGCAUGAGGCCCUGGGUUCAAUUCCUCAGCACCA